UUCUAACCGAAGGGUCCAGUUAUAGUGAACCUGACCGCAGCUCCUACCAUCAGGAUCACUGGGAACGGGUUGGCGGUCAACGCAGAGGGUACCGCGCUGUCUGUGGAUAGAGGAAGUCUCAGCCGUGUGAAGUGUCAGCUGCCGAUGAAGGUGGACCUCAGUGGAAGCCGUCUGGUUCUGGUCUCCAAAGAUCCGCAGUGUGAAAUUCAAUCUGUUCCUGGAUUUUUUUUGGGAG